rnacentral:rRNA from 1 species
CCUACGGGAGGCAGCAGUGGGGAAUAUUGCACAAUGGGGGAAACCCUGAUGCAGCGACGCCGCGUGAGUGAAGAAGUAUUUCGGUAUGUAAAGCUCUGUCAGCAGGGAAGAAAAUGACGGUACCUGACCAAGAAGCCCCGGCUAACUACGUGCCAGCAGCCGCGGUAAUACGUAGGGGGCAAGCGUUAUCCGGAUUUACUGGGUGUAAAGGGAGCGUAGACGGCAGGGCAAGUCUGGAGUGAAAGGCGGGGGCUCAACCCCCGGACUGCUCUGGAAACUGCCAGGCUGGAGUGCAGGAGAGGUAAGUGGAAUUCCUAGUGUAGCGGUGAAAUGCGUAGAUAUUAGGAGGAACAUCGGUGGCGUAAGCGCUUUACUGGGCCGUAAUUGACACUGAGGAACGAAAGCCGGGGUAGCAAAUGGGAUUAGAUACCCCUUGUAGUC